AAUAGUGCUGGUAAUUUAAUCCUUACAGAUGAUUAUGCACUACAUUCUCAUGAAUAUGUAUGUUCUCCCGUAGUUCUACCCAUAGAAUUUUACCUAUUUGGAAUUAAUUUUGUAAUUCUAUGUAAUUGGAUCCUUAUAGAAUAUCUUUAUAUAUACUAAGCCACUUCUUUUUCUUAAUUUUAUGAUUAUAAAGGAAUCCUACAAAGGCUGUAAUUUUUCUUUGACUGUUACAUCUGCUAUUAAGCAAUUCCCUUCCUGAUGAUUUGCUGAGAAUGGGAUGGAAAAAAGAGAAGUUUCAGUCAGAUCUUCCAAGACAAGAGAGAACACGCCUAGAGUUGCUGCUAUGACACUCAAACAGCCAUUUCACAAAGCCAAGCAAGGAAAUACGGGAGUUUGUGUUGCGGCUUAAAGGAACCCAGCUGUCUUCAUUCCUGUCCAGCUGAAGAGUGAGUACUAUUAGCCUGAAAAGGAGUGUUAUCUAAAGAGGGACUAACCAGCACUGAAAUCCCGGGGAAGGAUUUGGAUACUACAUGGUUGGGGACUUGAAUAUAACAUAUGUACCUCAGACCUGCAUAGAAUCUCCAGAGGCCCAAAUCUAAAACAUAUAUAUGUUGAAGAGAAGGAAGGUAGGACUGAGCUAACAAUUUGCAUUUGCUCAAGUGGAAGACAGGUUGCUUGAGGAUGUGCUUGGUUCUUGUUGGAGAAAGGCAAAAGGGUUGAGUUUUGGAGCUGGGGGACUUAAGCAGGGUUGGCAAGAAUGAUUUAAACUGGAAAAAGAGGGAACCAGCAAGGAGUGAGAGUGGGCUGGUGAAAGCCUCCAAAAAGCAGCCAUAGGCCCAUUUAAAGUAAUAGAUUGGGAAGAGCCAGGCUGAGUAAGUUAACGGGAUAAGGUGGGUGGAAGACUCAUAGAGUAGAAAGUGAGAAAGAAAGCAACCAAUGAAGAGGAAAAAGAAGGAAGACAGAGAAAUCUGUGAUACAAAACUGCCUGAAAACUUCUGGUGAGGAGUAACAAAGCUCUUGUUCAUCACCCUUUUCACUGAAUGUGUAAAUAGGCUGAAUGACUGCUUGGGUUGCCCUUUUGGUGGUAUUUAACGCUUAUCUUGUGUCACUAAUUAGCUUUGUUCAACAGAGGUAAACAGGAUCAAGGGGCAACAUGGAUAAUGCUGAUGGAAAUGUUUUAUAUAGCAUAAGGGAACAGCUGCUUCAGCCACAGCAAAAAAUUAUCAAGAUGGUGUCACUAUAGGUGAUUUCACCCAUUUUAUGCCGCAAAGUGGUGAAUGUGUCCAAGGUCCUAAUCCAAGUGCUUUGUAAUGCUUUGAAAGCUUUAUCUUUUUUCCAUGCUUCAAAGGCAAGGUAAUGGUACAACAUCCUUUGCGUGAUACACUACCCCAGCGCUCAGGGGCCAGAUG
rnacentral:lncRNA from 1 species